rnacentral:misc_RNA from 1 species
GAAAUGCGAUAAGUAAUGUGAAUUGCAGAAUUCAGUGAAUCAUCGAAUCUUUGAACGCACAUUGCGCCCGCCAGCACUCUGGCGGGCAUGCCUGUUCGAGCGUCAUUUCAACCCUCAGAACCCCUUGCGGGAUCUGGCGUUGGGGAUUGGCAUCCAGCCAGCCCCGAAAUCUAGUGGCGGUCCCUCCGCGUAGUAGUUUACACACCUCGCGGGCGGAGAGCGGCGCGGCCCUGCCGUAAAACACCCAUCAUCUCACAAGGUUGACCUCAGAUCAGGUGGGAAUACCCGCUGAACUUAAGC